rnacentral:rRNA from 1 species
CCCAGACUCCUACGGGAGGCAGCAGUGAGGAAUAUUGGUCAAUGGCCGGAAGGCUGAACCAGCCAAGUCGCGUGAGGGAAUAAGGCCCUAUGGGUCGUAAACCUCUUUUGUCAGGGAGCAAAGGGCGCCACGUGUGGCGCUUUGCGAGUACCUGAAGAAUAAGCACCGGCUAACUACGUGCCAGCAGCCGCGGUAAUACGUAGGGUGCGAGCGUUAAUCGGAAUUACUGGGCGUAAAGGGUGUGCAGGCGGUUUUGCAAGAUGGAUGUGAAAGCCCCGGGCUUAACCUGGGAAAGCCAUACAUGACUGCAAGACUAGAGUGCGUCAGAGGGGGGUGGAAUUCCAAGUGUAGCAGUGAAAUGCGUAGAUAUUUGGAAGAACACCGAUGGCGAAGGCAGCCCCCUGGGACGCAACUGACGCUCAUACACGAAAGCGUGGGGAGCAAACAGGAUUAGAUACCCGAGUACG